GACAGGUGUCAAUCCAUAUCUGCCAAGUGACCCGAUGUUGGGGUAACAUUCCCUAUUCUGAUCUGUGUCAGUGUGUAUCAGGGAUCCUUAGGACAGGUGUCAAUCCAUAUCUGCCAAGUGACCCGAUGUUGGGGUAACAUUCCCUAUUCUGAUCUGUGUCAGUGUGUAUCAGGGAUCCUUAGGACAGGUGUCAAUCCAUAUCUGCCAAGUGACCCGAUGUUGGGGUAACAUUCCCUAUUCUGAUCUGUGUCAGUGUGUAUCAGGGG